ACGAGGGUGAAAACCCACCACUUUGAACACAGUCACAGGCACCGGCAUGCUGUGGACUUGUAAGUUUCCCAAAUGAGUAACUAUCCAUGACUUUUCUAGUGUAAAGUUUUAUUUAAUACACAUUUGAUUUGAAUGGCAUAUCAGAGAGAUAUAUAAACAUAUAUCAUAGGCUGAUCCGGGGGGGGGCUUUCUUGGGAAAAAUUUGGUUGAUUAUAUAGGGAUCACUGAAGCAUGACUGGAGCCGGCCCUCCCUUAUGAAAAGUUCUGGAUCUGCCACUGUAUAUUCAUAAAAUAAACCAACAAAUUAUCCAAAAGAUGAAUAAUACUUAAUACUUACGACUAAGAUUGAUUAUAAGUAUACUUGAGUCGGUUUUACAAAAAAAAAAAACUUACAAUUUAUCGUAAGUAUACUGUAUUGUACAUGACUUAAUUACUAUCAAUGUUAUUUGUAAGUUUUUUUGUGAAACUGACUGCUGAAUUGUUUUUCCAUGCUUAUGGUACAUCUAAGUCAUAUGCUUUUUUUAAAACCACCUCCAGGGUAUAAUGUCUGCUCGCCCAUAGAAUCUGUUUGUAGAUAUAGGAAGAUGUGGUAUGAGUGCCAAUGAGACAACUCUCCAUCCAAGUCACACAAUUUAUAAAAGUAAACCAUUAUAGGUCAAGGUAUGGUCUUCAACACAGAGCCUAGUUUUUAUCAAAAAUGAAAUAUAUUUAUAUUAAUAGUCAUGAUAGUAUACAGGUUAAAUAAUUUAUUCAUACAUUUUUAAUUGACUGACUAGAAUUAUCAUGAUUAUUGAGGAAUUUGAACCAUUCCUAUUUUUAAAAAGGGACAAAAAUAAAAUUUAUAUAUAAUAACAGGGUGAUACAAAUGAGAGAAAUUGUUUUCAAUUAAGAUAAAUACAUGGUUUUCAGUUGAUUUUUAAAGCAGAGGCAGAUUUAGUUUAAAGUUGGAAAAAAUUGUUUGUACCAACAAAAAUAAAUACAGAAAGUUAAUCCAGAAUUAUGUGUUUAUCAUUUUUUUUUAUGUUUAGGUUGCCAGCAAGAUGAAAAGAACAAUGCAGUUCAAAAGUCAAAAUGUGGAUAAGCUGCGGUACAAAGUCCUACUUUUGCAGAUUUUCAUAUUUUGCAUGAAUGAAUUUGAAGUUUAUAUCCUGGAGGGCAGAGAAAGAAAAGAAACACUUCAGUUUUCCUGCUUCUGAAGGAUAAAUGUAAAACAUCUUGUUUGAAGGAUUGGAAUUCAUCACUGAGAAUAGAAGGAGAAAACACAGAAACAAGACCAAAAUAAAUUCAAAGACAAAAGUCAGAUCAGUUAUUAUUUUCAUCACUCAGCCAAUGAAUUGUAGUUCUAUUAAAUAUCUAAAGAUAUUAAAACCACAAUAAUGACAAUGUUCUGUGCUGAAUGGCAAAAAAGUGGACUAUACAUUACGAUCACACAAUGCUGGAUGAUAAGAAACUAUUAAUUUUUUGGGUGGAGGGAUAUCCUGAAAAAAAAAUAGAUUUAUGUAAAAAGCUACUAGUAUGUUAAGCCUAUUAAUAGAGUUUUCAUUGAUUUCAAAUGGGAAAAAAUUGUGUUUCAAAAAAGUGUUCUAGAAUUCAUAAAUAAACAUAUAUUGAUACUUA